CAACUUUCAGCAACGGAUCUCUUGGGUCUCCCANCGAUGAAGAACGCAGGGAAAUGCGAUAGUAUGUGAUUGCAGAAUUCAGUGAAUCAUCGAAUCUUUGAACGCACCUUGCGCCCUCUGGUAUUCCGGAGGCAUCCUGUUUGAGUGUCAUU
rnacentral:rRNA from 1 species